rnacentral:rRNA from 1 species
CCUACGGGUGGCAGCAGUGGGGAAUAUUGGACAAUGGGCGAAAGCCUGAUCCAGCCAUGCCGCGUGUGUGAAGAAGGCCUUCGGGUUGUAAAGCACUUUCAGUGGGGAAGAAAGCCUUGGGGCUAAUACCCUCGAGGAAGGACAUCACCCACAGAAGAAGCACCGGCUAACUCCGUGCCAGCAGCCGCGGUAAUACGGAGGGUGCGAGCGUUAAUCGGAAUUACUGGGCGUAAAGCGCGCGUAGGCGGUCUGAUAAGCCGGUUGUGAAAGCCCCGGGCUCAACCUGGGAACGGCAUCCGGAACUGUCCGGCUAGAGUGCAGGAGAGGAAGGUAGAAUUCCCGGUGUCGCGGUGAAAUGCGUAGAGAUCGGGAGGAAUACCAGUGGCGAAGGCGGCCUUCUGGACUGACACUGACGCUGAGGUGCGAAAGCGUGGGUAGCAAACAGGAUUAGAUACUCUAGUAGUC